rnacentral:rRNA from 1 species
CCUACGGGAGGCAGCAGUGAGGAAUAUUGGUCAAUGGACGAGAGUCUGAACGAGCCAAGUAGCGUGAAGGAUGACUGCCCUAUGGGUUGGAAACUUCGUUUAUAUGGGAAUAAAAUGGUCCACGUGUGGGAUUUUGUAUGUACCAUAUGAAUAAGGAUCGGCUAACUCCGUGCCAGCAGCCGCGGUAAUACGGAGGAUCCGAGCGUUAUCCGGAUUGAUUGGGUUUAAAGGGAGCGUAGGUGGAUUGUUAAGUCAGUUGUGAAAGUUUGCGGCUCAACCGUAAAAUUGCAGUUGAAACUGGCAGUCUUGAGUACAGUAGAGGUGGGCGGAAUUCGUGGUGUAGCGGUGAAAUGCUUAGAUAUCACGAAGAACUCCGAUUGCGAAGGCAGCUCACUGGACUGCAACUGACACUGAGGCUCGAAAGUGUGGGUAUCAAACAGGAUUAGAUACCCGAGUAGUC